AUGGCGAUCGUUUACGUGCUUCUGGUGGCGCUGAUCACCGCGGCGUCCCAUGCGCCGCACGGCGCGCACGGCCAGACGUGGCACGGCGACCUCGCGGCGCUCGCCGCCGCCGGCAAGCUCCGCAGCGACCCCAACGCCACCCUGGCGGCCUCCACGGACUUCGGCAACAUCACGGCGGCGCUCCCGGCGGCCGUGCUGUUCCCGUCGUCCCCGGCGGACGUGGCUGCGCUCCUCCGCGCCGCGCACACCACCGUGGCGUGGCCGUACACCAUCUCGUUCCGCGGCCGCGGCCACUCCGUGAUGGGGCAGGCCUUGGCCCUCGGCGGCGUGGUCGUCGACAUGCCGUCCCUGGGCGGCCCGUCCUCCGCGGCGCGCAUCAACGUGUCGGCGGACGGCCAGUACGUCGACGCCGGCGGCGAGCAGAUGUGGAUCGACGUGCUGCGGGCGACGCUGGAGCGCGGCGUGGCGCCGCAGUCGUGGACGGACUACCUCCACCUCACCGUCGGCGGCACGCUCUCGAACGCCGGCAUCAGUGGCCAGACCUACCGGCACGGCCCCCAGAUUUCCAACGUCCUGGAGCUGGACGUCAUCACCGGCUACGGCGAGAUGCUGACGUGCUCCAAGUCGCUCAACGCGGACCUGUUCGACGCGGUACUGGGCGGGCUGGGCCAGUUCGGCGUGAUCGUGCGCGCACGGAUCGCGCUCGAGCCGGCGCCGACGCGGGCGCGGUGGGCGCGGCUCGUCUACACCGACUUCGCCACCUUUUCCGCCGACCAGGAGCGGCUCGUCGCGCCCGGGCCCGACGGCGCGUUCGGGCCGAUGAGCUACCUCGAGGGCGCGGUCUACGUGAACCACAGCCUGGCCGCCGGGCUGAAGAACUCGGGCGGGUUCUUCACCGACGCCGACGUCGCCAGGAUCGUCGCCGUCGCCGCGGCGAGGAACGCCACCACCGUGUACGUCAUCGAGGCGACGCUCAACUACGACAACGCCACGGCCGCGUCCGUGGACCAGGAGCUCAGUUCGGUGGUGGCGACGCUGAGGCACGAGGAGGGGCUCGCGUUCGUGCGUGACGCGUCGUACCUGGAGUUCCUGGACCGGGUGCACGGCGAGGAGGUGGCGCUGGACAAGAUCGGGCUGUGGCGCGUCCCGCACCCCUGGCUCAACGUGCUCGUGCCCCGCUCCCGCAUCGCCGACUUCGACAGCGGCGUCUUCAAGGGCAUCCUCCAGGGCACCGACAUCGCCGGGCCCCUCGUCGUCUACCCACUCAACAAAUCCAAGUGGGACGACGGCAUGUCGGCGGUGACGCCGGCGGAGGAGGUGUUCUACGCGGUGUCGCUGCUCUUCUCGUCGGUGGCCAACGACCUGAAGCGGCUGGAGGCGCAGAACCAGAAGAUACUGCGGUUCUGCGACCUCGCCGGGAUAGGGUACAAGGAGUACCUGGCGCACUACACGGCCCACGGCGACUGGGUCCGGCACUUCGGCGGCAAGUGGCAGCGCUUCGUGGAGAUGAAGGACAAGUACGACCCCAAGAGGCUGCUCUCCCCUGGCCAAGACAUCUUCAACCUACUCCUUUGA
rnacentral:rRNA from 1 species